GGGGAUCCAUUCUGAGACCCCAGCACUGAGAUGCUGAGAGGGAGGAGCUGAUAACCAUGGAUAUGCUGGACAGCGGCACGAUCCGGACCAGGACAGGACAGACCAUGACAGAGUGUGAUUUCAUCACGCUCCUCAGAAAGGCUCGCCAUUUAAAGCAAUACUGGGGAUUCAACAUUGGACCUUGUGCAUGCUGGGCAAGUGCCCUGCAUCCCCAGCCCAGCCAUGUGACUCUGAGGAGGUUAUUUGGUAAAACUUUUUUCAUCUUCAGUUUCCUCAUCUGGAAAGAAAAGAGGAUACCUACUCUAUAAUAGUACUGCAAGUAUAACCGG
ensembl:lncRNA